rnacentral:rRNA from 1 species
ACUCCUACGGGGGGCAGCAGUGGGGAAUCUUGCGCAAUGGGCGGAAGCCUGACGCAGCAACGCCGCGUGUGGGAAGACGGCCUUCGGGUUGUAAACCACUUUCAGGGGGGACGAAGCCACUCAGGUUAAUAGCCGAGAGGGUGACGGUACCCCCAGAAGAAGCCCCGGCUAACUACGUGCCAGCAGCCGCGGUAA